rnacentral:rRNA from 1 species
GACAGAGGUGGCAAGCGUUGUUCGGAUUCAUUGGGUGUAAAGGGUGCGUAGGCGGUUUGGAAAGUCAGAUGUGAAAUCCUACAGCUUAACUGUAGAACUGCAUUUGAAACUUCCAGACUAGAGGACGGAAGAGGUGAAGGGAAUUCCCAGUGUAAGGGUGAAAUCUGCAGAUAUUGGGAAGAACACCAGUAGCGAAGGCGCUUCACUGGUCCGUUUCUGACGCUGAGUGCACGAAGGUGUGGGGAGCAAACGGG